ACAUCAGUGAGGUCAAUCCUUACCUGUUGUUCUCUCCGGAGAACUGCAGAACGUGAUGUUUGGAGUGGGAUGAAUUCAUGAUUAUUCACUCCCUCCGCGAAGGUCUGCAACACCAUCGCGGAACCAUUCUGAU